rnacentral:rRNA from 1 species
GGAGCUUGCUCCCGGAUGUUAGCGGCGGACGGGUGAGUAACACGUGGGUAACCUGCCUGUAAGACUGGGAUAACUCCGGGAAACCGGAGCUAAUACCGGAUAGUUCCUUGAACCGCAUGGUUCAAGGAUGAAAGACGGUUUCGGCUGUCACUUACAGAUGGACCCGCGGCGCAUUAGCUAGUUGGUGGGGUAAUGGCUCACCAAGGCGACGAUGCGUAGCCGACCUGAGAGGGUGAUCGGCCACACUGGGACUGAGACACGGCCCAGACUCCUACGGGAGGCAGCAGUAGGGAAUCUUCCGCAAUGGACGAAAGUCUGACGGAGCAACGCCGCGUGAGUGAUGAAGGUUUUCGGAUCGUAAAGCUCUGUUGUUAGGGAAGAACAAGUGCGAGAGUAACUGCUCGCACCUUGACGGUACCUAACCAGAAAGCCACGGCUAACUACGUGCCAGCAGCCGCGGUAAUACGUAGGUGGCAAGCGUUGUCCGGAAUUAUUGGGCGUAAAGGGCUCGCAGGCGGUUUCUUAAGUCUGAUGUGAAAGCCCCCGGCUCAACCGGGGAGGGUCAUUGGAAACUGGGAAACUUGAGUGCAGAAGAGGAGAGUGGAAUUCCACGUGUAGCGGUGAAAUGCGUAGAGAUGUGGAGGAACACCAGUGGCGAAGGCGACUCUCUGG